rnacentral:tRNA from 1 species
GGGGAUGUAGCUCAGUGGUAGAGUGCUUGCCUAACGUGUGAGAUCCUAGGUUCAAUCCCUAGUAACACACA